UCAUUAUAAUAUAUAUAAACACAUAUACACACAAACACACACAUACACACACACACACACACACACACAUAUAUAUAUAUAUGUGUGUGUGUGUGUGUGUAUCACAUCUAUGGUA
ensembl:miRNA Gm23492 predicted gene, 23492